GAUGAACGCUGGCGGCGUGCCUAAUACAUGCAAGUCGAGCGAACAGACGAGAGUGCUUGCACUCUCUGACGUUAGCGGCGGACGGGUGAGUAACACGUGGGUAACCUACCUAUAAGACUGGGAUAACUUCGGGAAACCGGAGCUAAUACCGGAUAAUAUUUAGCUUCGCAUGAAGCGAUAGUGAAAGACGGUUCUGCUGUCACUUAGAGAUUGACCCGCGGUGUAUUAGCUAGUUGGUGAGGUAACGGCUCACCAAGGCAACGAUACAUAGCCGACCUGAGAGGGUGAUCGGCCACACUGGGACUGAGACACGGCCCAGACUCCUACGGGAGGCAGCAGUAGGGAAUCUUCCGCAAUGGACGAAAGCCUGACGGAGCAACGCCGCGUGAGUGAAGAAGGUUUUCGGAUCGUAAAACUCUGUUGUAAGGGAAGAACAAGUACGUUAGUAACUGAACGUACCUUGACGGUACCUUACCAGAAAGCCACGGCUAACUACGUGCCAGCCGCCGCUGUAACAC
rnacentral:rRNA from 1 species